CCCGGCCCAGGGGCUGUGGUCUUCGUGCGCCCACUUCAGGCUCCCGGCCAGGAACCCGCUCUUCUCCGGGAGCGCGGGCGAUGCCGGCUUCCAGAGCCCGUGCAGAUGUUAAACGAUGCAGCUGCUGCACAUUUGCUGUGGUGCUUCUUCAAACAACUUUGCAUGCAAUCACUGUAUGACCCAGCAAUUCCACUCCUAAUACUUACCUGCCAAGAACCGAAAGCAGACUCCUGCACACACUUGCAGUACAGCAUUCCCGUGUGACUGAGUUGCGCAGCCGGCCUGCUGUGCUCACUGCUAAUGCUUGCCCUCCGCGGCUCCUGAUGCAGCUUUAGGGUUGGGCCACACUGUACAGGCUCCAUCUCACGGGCCUCUGCAGGGCCCUGGAAAGGAAGCAGGUUCUUUUCUCUGUUGUU